AUUGAACGCUGGCGGCAGGCCUAACACAUGCAAGUCGAGCGGAGCGGCAGACGGGUGAGUACUGCCUAGGAAUCUGCCUGGUAGUGGGGGAUAACGUCCGGAAACGGGCGCUAAUACCGCAUACUAUCAGAUGAGCCUAGGUCGGAUUAGCUAGUUGGGGGUGUAAAGGCCUAACAAGGCGACGAUCCGUAACUGGUCUGAGAGGAUGAUCCGUCAAACUGGAACUGGGACACGGCCCAGACUCCUACGGGAGGCAGCAGGGGGGAUUAUUGGACAAUGGGGGAAAGCCUAAGCCAGCCAUGCGGCGUGUGUGAAGAAGGUCUUCGGAUUGUAAAGCACGUUAAGUUGGGAGGCGUUACCCGCAGAAGAAGCACCGGCUAACUCCGUGCCAGCAGCCGCGGUAAUUC
rnacentral:rRNA from 1 species